GUGGGGAAUAUUGGACAAUGGGCGAAAGCCUGAUCCAGCCAUGCCGCGUGUGUGAAGAAGGUCUUCGGAUUGUAAAGCACUUUAAGUUGGGAGGAAGGGCAGUAAGUUAAUACCUUGCUGUUUUGACGUUACCGACAGAAUAAGCACCGGCUAACUUCGUGCCAGCAGCCGCGGUAAUACGAAGGGUGCAAGCGUUAAUCGGAAUUACUGGGCGUAAAGCGCGUGUAGGCUGACAUGCAAGUCGGGUGUGAAAUCCCAGGGCUCAAACUUGGAACUGCACUCGAAACUGCACGUCUUGAGUACUGGAGAGGGAAGCGGAAUUCCGGGUGUAGAGGUGAAAUUCGUAGAUAUCCGGAGGAACACCAGUGGCGAAGGCGGCUUCCUGGACAGUAACUGACGCUGAGACGCGAAAGCGUGGGGAGCAAACAGGAUUAGAUACCCCGGUAGUCC
rnacentral:rRNA from 1 species